AGUGAACGCUGGCGGUAGGCCUAACACAUGCAAGUCGAACGGCAGCACAGUAAGAGCUUGCUCUUACGGGUGGCGAGUGGCGGACGGGUGAGGAAUACAUCGGAAUCUACUUUUUCGUGGGGGAUAACGUAGGGAAACUUACGCUGAUACCGCAUACGACCUACGGGUGAAAGCAGGGGAUCUUCGGACCUUGCGCGAUUGAAUGAGCCGAUGUCGGAUUAGCUAGUUGGCGGGGUAAAGGCCCACCAAGGCGACGAUCCGUAGCUGGUGUGAGAGGAUGGUAGGCCACACUAGAACUGAGACGCGGUCCAUACUCCUACGGGAGGCAGCAGUGGGGAAUAUUGGACAAUGGGCGCAAGCCUGAUCCAGCCAUACCGCGUGUGUGAAGAAGGCCUUCGGGUUGUAAAGCCCUUUUGUUGGGAAAGAAAAGCAGCAGGUUAAUACCCCGCUGUUCUGACGGUACCCAAAGAAUAAGCACCGGCUAACUUCGUG
rnacentral:rRNA from 1 species